UACGAAGGGAGCUAGCGUUGUUCGGAAUCACUGGGCGUAAAGCGCACGUAGGCGGAUGUGUCAGUCAGGGGUGAAAUCCUGGAGCUCAACUCCAGAACUGCCUUUGAUACUGGGAAGCUCGAGUCCGGAAGAGGUGAGUGGAACUCCGAGUGUAGAGGUGAAAUUCGUAGAUAUUCGGAAGAACACCAGUGGCGAAGGCGGCUCACUGGUCCGGUACUGACGCUGAGGUGCGAAAGCGUGGGGAGCAAACAGG
rnacentral:rRNA from 1 species